UGUUCUGUGGCUUAGUUGGCUAAAGCGCCGGUCUAGCGAAUACGCAGUCGUGGGUUCAGUUCCCACAAGAACGC
rnacentral:tRNA from 1 species